AGCUUGGCGAGUAGAGCGGCGCACGGGUGAGUAACGCGUGGGAAUCUACCCCAUAGCGGGGGACAACUCGGGGAAACCCGAGCUAAUACCGCAUACGCUCUGUCUUUGCCCUUCUUGCGGGAAGGGGAAGAGAAGGAGGAAAGAGGGCCUCUGUUGUAAGCUCUCACUAUGGGAUGAGCCCGCGUCGGAUUAGCUGGUUGGUAGGGUAAAGGCCUACCAAGGCGACGAUCCGUAGCUGGUCUGAGAGGAUGAUCAGCCACACUGGAACUGAGACACGGUCCAGACUCCUACGGGAGGCAGCAGUGGGGAAUAUUGCACAAUGGGCGCAAGCCUGAUGCAGCUAUGCCGCGUGUGUGAAGAAGGCUUUCGGGUUGUAAAGCACUUUCAGUGGGGAGGAAAGGGAGUGGGUGAAUAGCCAACUGUUGUGACGUUACCCACAGAAGCAGCACCGGCUAACUCCGUGCCAGCAGCCGCGGUAAUACGGAGGGUGCGAGCGUUAAUCGGAAUCACUGGGCGUAAAGGGCGCGUAGGUGGUUUGUUAAGCGGGAUGUGAAAGCCCUGGGCUCAACCUGGGAAUAGCAUUUCGAACUGGCAGGCUAGAGUACAGCAGAGGGGUGUGGAAUUUCCGGUGUAUUGGUGAAAUGCGUAGAGAUCGGAAGGAACACCGGUGGCGAAGGCGACACUCUGGGCUGAUACUGACGCUGAGGGGGCGAAGCGUGGGGGAGCAAACAGGGAUUAGAGACCCUGGUAGUCCACGCUGUAAACGAUGUCUACUA
rnacentral:rRNA from 1 species